rnacentral:tRNA from 1 species
GGUUAUAGUUCAGUGGUAGAGCACUUACCUGGCACAAGUGAGGCUCUGAGUUCAAUCCCCAGUACCA